rnacentral:rRNA from 1 species
GAUGCCUGCCCGGUGCUGGAAGGUUAAUUGAUGGUGUUAUCGCAAGAGAAGCUCCUGAUCGAAGCCCCAGUAAACGGCGGCCGUAACUAUAACGGUCCUAAGGUAGCGAAAUUCCUUGUCGGGUAAGUUCCGACCUGCACGAAUGGCAUAAUGAUGGCCAGGCUGUCUCCACCCGAGACUCAGUGAAAUUGAAAUCGCCGUGAAGAUGCGGUGUACCCGCGGCUAGACGGAAAGACCCCGUGAACCUUUACUAUAGCUUGACACUGAACAUUGAAUUUUGAUGUGUAGGAUAGGUGGGAGCCUUUGAAGCAGUCACGCCAGUGAUUGUGGAGGCGUCCUUGAAAUACCACCCUUUAACGUUUGAUGUUCUAACGAAGAUUGCGGAACGCGGUCUCGGACAGUGUCUGGUGGGUAGUUUGACUGGGGCGGUCUCCUCCCAAAGAGUAACGGAGGAGCACGAAGGUUUGCUAAUCACGGUCGGACAUCGUGAGGUUAGUGCAAUGGUAUAAGCAAGCUUAACUGCGAGACAGACAAGUCGAGCAGGUGCGAAAGCAGGUCAUAGUGAUCCGGUGGUUCUGAAUGGAAGGGCCAUCGCUCAACGGAUAAAAGGUACUCCGGGGAUAACAGGCUGAUACCGCCCAAGAGUUCAUAUCGACGGCGGUGUUUGGCACCUCGAUGUCGGCUCAUCACAUCCUGGGGCUGAAGUAGGUCCCAAGGGUAUGGCUGUUCGCCAUUUAAAGUGGUACGCGAGCUGGGUUUAGAACGUCGUGAGACAGUUCGGUCCCUAUCUGCCGUGGGCGUUGGAGAAUUGAGAGGGGCUGCUCCUAGUACGAGAGGACCGGAGUGGACGCAUCACUGGUGUUCCAGUUGUCUCGCCAGAGGCAUUGCUGGGUAGCUACAUGCGGAAGAGAUAAGUGCUGAAAGCAUCUAAGCACGAAACUUGCCUCGAGAUGAGUUCUCCCACACUAUAAGUGUGUAAGGGUUGUUGGAG